rnacentral:lncRNA from 1 species
UACAUCCCUGAUGAUGACAGGAAGAGAGAUGACCUACUUUAUGGGAGGGGAUGAGGAGGAGCUAGUGGAGAGCAGAACAAAGGAGGACAACCCUCAGGUGCUAAGGAAAUUAUGCCAAAGUUGUCAUCUCUUUGGUAUUCAUUGCUUGCCUGUGCAAGAAUUCUUGUCAUGAGAAAUUUCAGCCUUACCUUGUUUCUUAUGGCAAUUUGAGACUAAGAGAGCACUCAGGUGAUGUGUUCGUUGGAGAAUCACACUGCAGCUCAGCCAGUAUAACACUGAGAAGAUAACUUGUUUCAGGGCCCUUCUCCCUCCCAGGUCUGGCGCUGAUUCUUCCCGAGCUGCCUGGCAUUCUCAGGCUGCCCCUGGCCUUCCAGGAACCACUUUUAGGGCAUAAUCUGGCCUUUGGUAUGUGAAAGUAAUUGCUUCUAGAAUUGUGCUUCAUUCCUCUGGGCUGUUUUGUGCUGAAUAGCUGGUCAAAUAGUGGUUGAAUUGAUUUAUGCUACUGAUAACAAGUCACACCUUUCAGGUAAGUUAUUCCCAUUUUAACACCUUGAUUUUCAAGAUCUUAAUCCCAAUUUUUUGCUUCCUGUCCUUCUUCCUUCCUGCCUUUCUCUCUUUUUCUUUCUCUCUCUUUCUUUCUUUUCUUUCUCUCUUUCCUUCUCUCUCUCUCUCUUUUUUUUUUUUUUUUUGCUUUUUAGGGCUGCAGCUGCAGCAUAUGGAAGUUUCCAGGCUAGGGUCAAAUGGGAGCUGCAGCUGCCGGCCACAGCCACAGCCACACCAAUGCCAGAUCUGAGUUGCGUCUUUGACCUACACCACAGCUCAUAACAACGCUGGAUCCUUUAACCCAAUGAGCGAGGCCAGGGAUCGAACCCACAUCCUCAUGGAUUCUAGCUGUGUUUGUUACCGCUGAGCCACAAUGGGAACUGUCUUUCUCUUUUAAUAUAGUUUGUGAGCACCUCGGCUGGUGCCAGGCAUUGCAACAGGCCUUGGGCCUGCAGACUGCACCUCUACUUUCAUGGCAGUCAUGUGGAACAGACUACCACUAAACUCUGGAAGCGUGAUACAUUUCACUUUUGAAUCCAUGAACAAAUCCCUAAUCAUUCAACUGUGCUCUUACUUGUUCAUCUGGCAGGAAAGAUAAAAUCUAUUCACACAGUUUGUCUCAACAUUCUAAUGGUGGAAGAUGUUGUUGCUAUGGAGAUGAAGAAAUAUUUUGACUAGGAGAAUAGUUUGGAGCCUCUCAAAUUACUUUUCAUUACCUACACAGAGCUAGUCUCUACAUAGCUGUCUUCCAGGCAUGACUAAACCAAUUUGUCCUGUCCCGUUUUCCGUAACUGUAAUAAUUUCAAGCAACACUUUUAGUCUAUGUUACAGAUUUAUUGCAAACAUUCUAACUGCAUAUCCCUCUCUGUUUUGUAGGUGACAUACCAGUAAGCUUAGAUACCUCUGCUUAGAUGCCCUAACCUGCCCAUCAGAGUGUCACAGGUUGUGUUCCCUCUCUGGUUUUAUGAAGAAUUAGUUCCACACAGAUGCAUAUCUAUCCAUGAAAUUGUAUUUUAAAAAAUUCCAGUAAUUUUUCCUAUGAAUAGAAAAUUUUGAAUUUUAUUUCAAUUUUACUUUAUUUCAUAUGUAUUCUUUUAUCCUCACCUUCUAAAGAGAGUAUCAAAGAAAAUAUCUGUAAGUGAUCUCAGUUCAAUGUAAUGACACAUUUCUCUAAAAUUAGCAUACUAGGAGUUCCCGUCGUGGCGCAGUGGUUAACGAAUCUGACUAGGAACCAUGAGGUUGCAGUUUCGAUCCCUGCCCUUGCUCAGUGGGUUGGGGAUCCAGCGUUGCUGUGAGCUGUGGAGUAGGUCGCAGAUGUGGCUUGGAUCCCGCCUGCUGGCCUACGCUACAGCCACAGCAAUGCGGGAUCUGAGCCACGUCUGAGAUCUAGACCACAGCUCACAGCAUCGCCGGAUCCUUAACCCACUGAGCGAGGCCAAGGAUUGAACCUGCAUCCUCAUAGUUACUAGUUGGGUUUGUUAAUGCUGAGUCACAAUGGGAACUCUCUAAAACAAUUUUUAAAAGGAAGUUUACAGCUCAAUAGUCAUCUACUGUAUAAGAUUUUCUUUUUAAAAGCUGAAUUAAUAUAUUGAGUUUAGUUUUUGCUUUUUUUUGCUUUUUUAAUAAUCCUAUGUAUAUUAUAUAUAUGACUAUAUAAAUUAAUCAAUGAAUUAAUAAAUUAUCCUAUCUU